CCUGGCCCUAGAGGCAUCAUGGCAGCUGUGGCUGCACUGUCACCCGAGCGUCAGUAGGUGGCAGAGAGGAAAGAGGCUAUGUCCACACAGUGUUCUGACCUUUGAAUAUCUGAAUGAUUAGUAGCCUAACACU